UGUUCUAUUUUUUUCCCUUAAAAAAGGGGUAAAUAACAUUUAAUACCCUUACACCCAUCCAUACAACGCCAUUACCAUUGCCACACUACCGCCAUGUGCAUAUUUUCUCUCUACAAGAGACCCCCACCAGGCCACCACUGUCACUUUCUUUAUUCACUAAGCCUACCACUACCUUGUAGUUCUAUAUUAUACCCCCAUUCCCAGUAAACUGCAUUCCAUGAAGACCUGCCACUACUAUUUCCAGUUGUACUAGCCACUAGUUUGGUAGGAUCAGUAACAUCACAUCCUCCAGAGCUCGAUGCCAACCCAUGUGGUUGGGCAUUGCGCUGGCCAUGCUCGUAAUGCAGGUUCGAACCUGCAUCCCUUCCCCAUCCGCAAAAAUAAUGCAUGGUGUUUUUGCGUGAACCUCCCCCACCCCCCAAAAAAAGAAAAAAGAAAACAUCACAACCUCUGGAAAGUCUUAAUUAGCCCAUGGGCCUACUACUUGCAGGUAUAAGCGUAUGCCACUUAAUUUCUUUUGAAGACUGAAUUUUCCAUAUAGCAUUGGAUUUAUUUAAGUAGUGGGAUCAAUGAUUGGUCUGCAUGCCAUAUGGUAAGGACUGUUGAGAGAGAGCUGUCAUAUAAUUUAAAAAUGUCAUAGUGCAGGCAAAUAUAACAGUGCACUAAAUCACCUUACAAAAUUGUCGUGAUUGUGGUCGGUGGCGACGGCGGCUUGGGUGAUUCUUGGUCGUGUUGCUUGGGGUUUUAUAAUUGUUGAUAGAGGAAACGUCACCAAGAGACGUCUGUUUCUUUUUUUCAUUUUUGUUUUAUGUUUUGGGUUUUUGAUGCUACAUAAAUGAAUAGAAGAGGGGAGAGAUAGUGAAAGAGAUAAAUUGGAUUGGUAAUGUGAGAAUGAGAUGUGGGUCUUAGGUGGUGGAUCGUGGUGGAUAGUCGGUGGCGGCUCCUCAUGUACCUUGGAGUGGUAAAUUUAAUGUUGACAUAGCAAAAAAAACGUCCUGUAUAGAAGCUCUCUCGUUUAACAGCCACUUAAGCUCUCUAGAAAAACUAAUGAACACCCUAAUGCUUGGACUUUCUGGUUGAACCAAAAAAAAUAAAAAAUAGUGAUUCUAACCUACAUCAAGAUGUAAAAUACUCCCUCCAUCUCAUAUUGCUAGUCCAUUAUUCCAUUUUGGGAUGUCUCAAAAUAUUUGUCCACUUCCAAAAUAAGUAUGCAAUUUUUCCUUUAUCCUUUAUUUUAUAUAACAUUUCAACCAAAGGAAAAAGUCAAAAGCAACGAUUAAAGGGGUAAAAUUUGAACGUCAAUACAAAUUAAGUGUAAUGAUUAUGUUCCCUUAAAAAAUUGUAUUCCCCAAAAGGGACUAGCAAUAUGGGACAGAUGAAGUACCAACUUAAUCAUCAAUCCCUUUCUCACAAAAUCUCAAACCCUAGUGGGGGACUAGGGUUUGAUAUUUGUUAGAAAUCUUGGAGGCUAUUGACCAUAGGUGGAGUAGCCUCUAGAUAAUAUAUAUUAAUCUUGAGUGACUUAAGUAAGCGAUGUGGGACUAACACUUCUAACACUCCUCCGCACGUGCAACCCAUAUGCACAUGGAGGUGACAACAACAACGGAAACAAUGACGACAACGGAAAUGACUUGGGCGGAAACUUGCCCACUCGAGAAUCACCCAAGACCUAACUCUGAUACCAUGUUAGAAAUAUUAGAGGCUUCCAACCUAAAACUAAUUGGCAAUUUAUGAGUAGCCUCUAGAUAAUAUAUACUAAGAUUGUGUGAUUUAAGUAAGCGAUGUGGAAUUAGCACUUCUAAAAAUAUUUUUUUUUAACUAGAGCUUGUGGAAUUUAAGCUUCUUAAUGGUUUGCUUGACAAAAAUUCCUGGAGCUGUUGAUGUGUAUGGUGUACACAUAUAUAGGUAUUUAUGGUUAACUUGAGGUCCAAUUAUGGUUUCGGUUUUACUCAAGUGAGGACAACGUAGUCCAAAAUAUCUAUGUAUGGUCAUGUGAUAAUCACAUUACCAACUCCAUCGACUUUGUGGACAGAUCUAAUGGAAGAAUGACAUUGAACUUUGACUUAAAGUAUAGGGGAUUGCAGGGUUCUAAAUUGCGAUAUCGGCAACGAUGUUGGUGUUGGUGUUGGUGUUGGUGUUAUGGCCAUGUAUCGGCCAAUAUCGGACGAUAAAUUGGUAAAUAUUGGUAUUGGAGACUGAAAUUUUGAUACGGGAAUGGCCGAUACACAAAUCAUCGGCCAAUAUGUAAAACCUUGGGGUUUUGAUUGUCACAAUUACAAGUGUGGGGAUUAAAAAGUGAGAUUGGAGAUAAACGUAAGGGUAGAAAGUGUAGUUUAUCCAAAAAAUUGUUUUAGCAAAUUUUCUACAUUCAUCAGACCUUAUAACCUUUUCUAGCCUCAGAGGAUACUGUUGAGUCAAAAUAUUUGGAUUUUCCGAAAGAUAAAGCAUGAAUGCAGUUGCUGAGUCAGUUUUCUUUGUUGAUUUGACUGACGCAUUUUUUGUUAUUUACUUAUCUAGGAGAUGGGAUCAAUUUGAAGCAAAUGAAAUGUUAUUUGGAGUGAAAAGCACCUUUGAUGAAGAACUUUAUACUACAAAACUUGAGAGAGGUCCAAAGAUGAGAGAGUUGGAGAGGGAAGCUUUAAGAAUUGCAAGAGAAUUGAGGGUGAGGAGACGCUCGACCUACAUUUAGCAGAGGUGAUGAGUAACCUUAAUUUCUAGCAACUUUUUAGCUCUUCAUUUGCCCCCUAAUAAAAUUUUUCGUUAAAUUUCUUAUAUUUCACAUAUUUUGUCUGAUAGGAACGAGGCUUUCAGCUUCAUGGAAACUUUGACAUUAAUGAGGAAACCAGAUUCUCAUCGGUCUUUAGAGGGGUUGACGACACUGGAUAUGAUGAAAAUGAAAACAUAUUGUUGGAUUCACGCAAUAUUGAAACUUUUGGUAGUGCCCUUGGUUUUGCUGUUAGCGGGCCUUUCACUGUCUUGACCCGUGCAAAAAGUAAUGAAGGAAAUCAAGUGCCAUCUUGCUCUUCAACUAUGGUAAUCUCUUAACUUUCUAAUCUCUUACUUGGAAUUCUUAUUGUCAUGCUUAACUGCUGGAUUCUUGUUAUUGUGCAAUUGAGUUAUUUUAUGUAACUAUCCAUAACUCCCAUAAGCCAAGUAUUAUGAUUUCUCUAUUAACCAGGUUUUAAGAUGUAAUAGCAUGAGCUGACUUUUGUUUCUUAGGUUUUGAUAGAUAGUAGGCCACUGCUGUAAACCAAGGUCAAAUGAAACAGUGGUUCUGGAAAUAUAUAUUGAAUGCACAUUGUCAGUGAUUGUCUCCCAAAAUAGUCAACGACAAAUGAUAAAGACUGUUAUAGUAUUUUUUUUUUCUGUCUAUAGCUUGUUUGUAACUUCUGUUGGUUUCAUGUCUGAGAUGCGAUUGACUUACUUUUGGUCGUAUCUUCUAAUCUUGACGGUGCCUUAUUUUCUUCAUAUUUUGUGGCAUUCAGGAUGAAGUACAAUCUUCUGUGUCAAGCACUACAAGGGAUUUACAGCGAUCUACUUCUAGUGAUCAUUCCGUACAGUUGGCAUCUGAGUUUCUCUCUAAAAGUUCAGCUUUGGAUAGUGAAAGCAGGUUCCUUGUUAUUUUUGCUCAUUAAAUGUCAAGUACUUGUUUCUAUCAGGAUAAAAGAACUACUUUCAUUGUCAUUAGAACUGAAACAGACUUUUUUUGUUACAUUAUUUUUCUUUUGGGUCUAAUUCAGCAUCCUUAAUUUUAGAAUUCACGAGAACCAGUUCAGUGGACAGCAUGUCGGAAAUAAUUACAUCAAGGAGUCUGUAGAAAAGCAAAUGGUGAGUCAAGCUUUGAUCAGUAUUAAUUUCCUGUGAAAAUUUAGAGUUAUCCGUUUAAAUGCUUUUGCUUUUGUUGCUUAUGACGCAAUUCUUUUUUUCUUUUUUGAUGGGAUUGCAUAUGCUACAUUAUAACAAUAUAAUAAUCUAUAUGUAAUGCAGUUAGCUGAGGAGGAACAAAUGUUGAAAUCUGAGGGUGAGUGACUUUUUUGCCCAGGUGACAGCAAACUGGUUAAAAGUUGCAAUUUUCUUAAAUUUCCUCAUUAGUUAGAGCUUUAAUAAAUAUAAAUAAGAUACACUUUUUCUUUUUGCUCUGCAAAAUUUUUUGUAUCACUCUUUGCAUGAGUUGGGUUAAUAGGUCUAUUAGGUUAUAAAAUCGUUUUAGUUAGCUGUAAAGAAAGCCUAUUGAGAGAUCAUUUUUAAUUGAUGAUUAGUGCAUACCACCCAGCAUAAAAAAUUCAAUAGACUAUGAACUCUGCUUGUUAUUUGCUGUGAGGCAUUAUCCUAGAUUGAAGAUCAUGAGCUGAGUGCUCAAAUGUAGAGUUUGACUGAGAACGUAAGUGGGAGCAGAAGUGCAAGACAGAGAACUUUAAAAUUCUUAAGAUUUGCAGCGUUUCCACAGUACCGAUGUUAAAGAUGUUUUCUUGUACUUCUUGAAUAGUUGAAUUUACAUGCAGAAUUACAGUUAUUUGUGUUGGACCGACCUUCUGAUUGUGGUACAUGGUUCGUUUCUGGAUCUCUGUUUGAUCAUUUUACUGGAUACAUCCGCAAGCAAAUGGACCUUUCCUACUAUUUAAAUUUGCGUGAAUAUUUCUUCUCAUCACCCCAUGGCCAUAAAAUCUUUAUGAAUCUUGGUCCUCACACUUUAUCUUCUGACUGGGGGGCUAUGACAUUAUGCAGAUUUGCAGUCAUCUCUGAGGGCAAAGAAAGAUGGCCCCAGUAUGCGGAAAUUGUCUCCAAAUGCCACUUCGUAUGAUCGAACAUCUCUUGGAUCAUCCAAGUGUCUGGAAAAAAUGAGUUUACCAAGUGAACUCUCAGCAGAUGCGGCACCUGUGAAAACACAUGGAGCAUCACAAUCUGCAACAUCUCCUGGAUGGCCUGGUAGUUCUGCAUCAUCCACUUCAGAGUUUGGAGCUGUUGCCCCCACUUCAAGCUGUCCUGGCUUAUCACCAAGC
rnacentral:lncRNA from 1 species